rnacentral:rRNA from 1 species
AUUGAACGCUGGCGGCAGGCUUAACACAUGCAAGUCGAGCGGGGUGAUGGUGCUUGCACUAUCACUUAGCGGCGGACGGGUGAGUAAUGCUUAGGAAUCUGCCUAUUAGUGGGGGACAACAUCUCGAAAGGGAUGCUAAUACCGCAUACGUCCUACGGGAGAAAGCAGGGGAUCUUCGGACCUUGCGCUAAUAGAUGAGCCUAAGUCGGAUUAGCUAGUUGGUGGGGUAAAGGCCUACCAAGGCGACGAUCUGUAGCGGGGCUGAGAGGAUGAGCAGCCACCAUGGGACUGAGACACGGCCCAGACUCCUACGGGAGGCAGCAGUGGGGAAUAUUGGACAAUGGGCGGAAGCCUGAUCCAGCCAUGCCGCGUGUGUGAAGAAGGCCUUUUGGUUGUAAAGCACUUUAAGCGAGGAGAAGGCUCUUAAGGUUAAUACCCUUGAUGAGUGGACGUUACUCGCAGAAUAAGCACCGGCUAACUCUGUGCCAGCCGCCGCCGUAAGAC